rnacentral:rRNA from 1 species
GGAGGAUCCAAGCGUUAUCCGGAAUCAUUGGGUUUAAAGGGUCCGUAGGCGGUUUAGUAAGUCAGUGGUGAAAGCCCAUCGCUCUACGGUGGAACGGCCAUUGAUACUGCUAAACUUGAAUUAUUAGGAAGUAACUAGAAUAUGUAGUGUAGCGGUGAAAUGCUUAGAGAUUACAUGGAAUACCAAUUGCGAAGGCAGGUUACUACUAAUGGAUUGACGCUGAUGGACGAAAGCGUGGGUAGCGAACAGGAUUAGAUACCCUGGUAGUCCACGCCGUAAACGAUGGAUACUAGCUGUUGGAAGCAAUUUCAGUGGCUAAGCGAAAGUGAUAAGUAUCCCACCUGGGGAGUACGUUCGCAAGAAUG